rnacentral:rRNA from 1 species
UGGGGAAUAUUGGUCAAUGGGCGAAAGCCUGAACCAGCAAUGCCGCGUGAGUGAUGAAGGCCUUCGGGUUGUAAAGCUCUGUCAGUGGGAACGAAUAAGCCGAUUAAUACUCGGUGGUGACGGUACCCACAAAGGAAGCACCGGCUAACUCUGUGCCAGCAGCCGCGGUAAUACAGAGGGUGCAAGCGUUGUUCGGAAUUACUGGGCGUAAAGCGCGUGUAGGCGGUCCGGCAAGUCGGUCGUGAAAGCCCUUGGCUUAACCAAGGAACUGCGAUCGAAACUACUGGACUCGAGUAUCGGAGGGGGUGGCGGAAUUCCCGGUGUAGAGGUGAAAUUCGUAGAUAUCGGGAGGAACACCUGUGGCGAAGGCGGCCACCUGGAAGAUUACUGACGCUGAGACGCGAAAGCGUGGGGAGCAAACAGGAUUAGAUACCCCCGUAGUCC